rnacentral:rRNA from 1 species
UACAGAGGUCCCAAGCGUUGUUCGGAUUCACUGGGCGUAAAGGGUGCGUAGGUGGUCGGUCAAGUUCGAUGUGAAAUCUCCGGGCUCAACUCGGAAAUGGCAUUGAAUACUGCCCGGCUGGAGGGUCGAAGGGGAGACUGGAAUUCUCGGUGUAGCAGUGAAAUGCGUAGAUAUCGAGAGGAACACCAGUGGCGAAGGCGAGUCUCUGGACGACUCCUGACACUGAGGCACGAAAGCUAGGGGAGCAAAC